rnacentral:rRNA from 1 species
GACGAACGCUGGCGGCGUGCUUAACACAUGCAAGUCGAACGGAGCGAAUGAAAGCUUGCUUUUAUGAGCUUAGUGGCAAACGGGUGAGUAACACGUAGACAACCUGCCGACAGGAUGGGGACAACAUUCCGAAAGGAAUGCUAAUACCGAAUGAAGUCAGAGAAGGGCAUCCUUUUCUGAUGAAAGAUGGCCUCUUUUUAUGCUAUCACCUGUUGAUGGGUCUGCGUCUGAUUAGCUGGUAGGUGAGGUAACGGCUCACCUAGGCGACGAUCAGUAGCCGGUCUGAGAGGAUGAACGGCCACAUUGGGACUGAGACACGGCCCAGACUCCUACGGGAGGCAGCAGUGGGGAAUCUUCCGCAAUGGGCGCAAGCCUGACGGAGCAACGCCGCGUGAGUGAAGAAGGUCUUCGGAUCGUAAAGCUCUGUUGACGGGGACGAACGUGCGUGAUGCGAAUAGUGUCAU